rnacentral:misc_RNA from 1 species
GGAGACCAACGUUGCGAGUGUAAUGGGAACCGGUGAUGCUGCAGGUGUGAUCCCAUCAAUCGGUAAACAAAAACUAGAUGUCCCAGGAUACAUGGUUGUUGGAUUUGAGGUCGUGCCCUGCAGUCCUUUGCACAAGGUGGACUUAGUUAAGAACUUAAAGAUGUACGAAAAGUAUCCAAAUCCUGUUCAAUGUGAUCCUACCAGUGUAUCAAUGCAAAUUAACAAAG